ensembl:lncRNA
UGAGAAGUGAAGGAUUUCAUUACAUUUGAUCAUACAAUUUUGUCAGAAAAAAUUACAGUUAAAAAUCAAGACCUGGCUCAUUUUCUCAUCAUUUUAUGAAUUAGCAUGCAGUUAAAUUAUCAAAUAAAUUCUGACUGUAUAAGAGAAAAUAAACUUAAAUUCGUGCAUUUUGGUUUCAUUUACCAAACUGAAUUUCUUGCACCCUUUUCUCUGAAAUUAUGUUUCUAUUUGAGGAAGAUUCACUUCAGGGUGAAUUUGAUUUUGAAAAAGCAUGUGCAUGGCAAUUACUGGAGUUAGGAUCAUGUGCUUGCAUACAGUUUUCAUUGUGCUUGGCUCCGGGAGGCUGGGUUUUGGAUUCCAGUUCCGAUUUUCACUGUGUAAGGAGGGAAAGCUCCCCACCAUCUCUGGGCUGAGGGUUCUUCCGGCUGAUUGGAAGAUGGAGCGAAUGGCAGUCCUAUUCCAGCACAGAACAUACAGCAAGGCAGAGGAAAUUUAUUCUUUUGCUUUUAGGUUUGACUUCUGCUCUGUGUGUGGGGUUUAUGCUUUCUAAUGUUUCCAGAAGAGUUCCCUGAUCAUUUUUCAUUCUACACAAGGUCUAGCAAGAGAGAUGGGCAAUACAUCCAACAAUUGAAAUCGACUGUCCAGAAAACUAAUGGGAAGGAUGGUUGUGAAAUGAUGUGAAACUGGGGAGAAGAGACACCUAGUCUGGACUUAAGCAUUGGAAUGUUUUCGGCAGAGAAGUGGAAUCUAAGAAGAGGCUUAAAGAUGAGCAUGAUUUAGCCAUAUAUGGAGAGAAAAGAAGACACUUCCAAACACAGAACUCAUCUCCUUGUGGUCUAAAAGGAAGAUGAUAGUGUGGAGUAUUCCGAAAACCAAGGAGAAUUCAACCUGGCUAGAUCAUGGAACCUUUCUUCUGCCAUGCCACUCUGCCAUGUUGUUUCCACUCUGGAGUCAACUAACUAGAAAUGGAAUGGACGGCAAUUGUGGACCCAAAUAAAUCUCUUCUUUAAAUUGCAGGUGUUGGGUAUUUUGUCCCAGUGGCAGGAAAAUGACUAAUGUAGUUACCAUGCCAAAAGAAGAUGGUAGUUUGUUUAUAUCAGUGCUGAAUACUGCAUUACCUUUUAUCUCAAUAUUCUAGUAUCUUCAACCUUUUCUUUACUCAAACAUAUUUAUCACAUGCCUACUCUUAUGCCAGGCACUAAGCUAGACAUAAAUAACCUGACAGUGAGAUUAAAAGAUACUCUUAUGAAGCUUACAGUCCAUAAGUUUUGUAAGCAAAAUAACUAACUGAAUGAAAAACAUAGGUCUAAGUGCUAUCAGAUAGUAUGGUAAGGUAGAGUGCUGAGAAGUGACUACUCACAUUAGAGUAUCAGAGAAGGUCUCAUCAGAGA